GCUCCAGUGGCACAAUGCGUCAGUGUGUUUGGCUGUGAACCAGAAGGUUGGUGGUUCGAGUCCACUCAGGGACG